rnacentral:lncRNA from 1 species
GAAACCAUGUUUGGCUCUGAUACCAAGUUGAUGUAGAAUCAAUAUACUAAUCAAGAAAUAACAAAGUUAGAAGGACAGGAAGAAAUAAGCAGCAAGAAAGGGGAAGAAGCAGAGAGAAUGGAGGGAGAAGACCAGAGGAGAAGAGAAACAAGAGGGGAAGGCACGAGAAAGCAAUGCUAAUUUUCAUUCAAUUCUUCAUCUUCAUCAACUGAGUUCUUCAAUUCAUUACAACCAUAUAAAUAACAAACUAAUAAACCUAAUUUGAGGACUUGGGCCAAACCCAUAUACAAACCCAAUAAAACAUAAAAAAUGGAAGAUAAAAUGGCCCAAAUAAAGGGCCUGAUGAAGGAUGAUGUCCGCAUCAACUCCUUAGGAGUUUCUCUUGGUAUGUCAAAGAUUUUUGACCGUUUGACAUGGUAGAAUCGGUUGAUUUAUGAGUGUAGAGUCUGGAUUAUUGCUGGGAUUUCCUUUACAGGGUUUUUGCUGAAGAACAAGGUAUAAAACUGCGAAAAUGGCUUUUUCCAAAAAAUUUUGAGUCGGUUAACAUAAUUUCUCCAGCCACACACACUAAAUACCUUUUUUUCUCUGCACAAUCUUCUUGUGUUGAGUUGUAUCAAUGCCAGUGGAGUGAUAUAUUAUUUCAUUUUCUAGUAAAAAACUCUUUAAGAAAAGAAUUAUGAUAACCUCAUUUCAUUUUCAAGAGUUUGACAUUGAUUUUUCACCAUAUAGUGAAAAUCUUGGAUUACAGUAUUUUGCUAUUCAAAUAUCAANACAAUUCCAAGCCCAUAAUAUUAACUAAAGCACAGCCCAAUCUAAAAAAACCAUGUGCUGACUGUUCUCUCUAGCCCAAUCUGUGUGAUGGCAAAUUGGGGAUCGAGUGGAGGUGAGGUGUCGAUGGCUGAGGUGAUUGUGGAUGGCGUCACUGUAAGGAUGAGUGGUUGUAGGUAGUGACUGCAGUGAUUAUGGGCUUUGACGUUGUGAAGGUGAUUGGCGGUUGGUGUGGCUGCGGUGGUGGUUACAAUUGGAGACGAUGAUCGUGAGGUAGAUGUUUCGGGGCAUUGUGAGUUGCUCAAAAUUGGAGGCGACGGAACUUGAGGUGGUAGGGUGGGUGUUUUCGUUUUUGGAAUAGAGUGGGGUGCGAUUUGUGGUUGGAUUGAGCAAUGGCGGUGGCGUUUGAUGUAGAACGGGUUGAUGAAGGCGACAAAUUGGAUUGUGAUUGUGAACACUGCUGGUGGGCGUGACUGGCGGGAAUUGGCGUUCUCGAACUUAUAGUUGCGAUUUUUAUUUAUUUAGUUUUAUUUUUAUUUUUUUGGAUGAAAAGAAAAGUUACUGAUUAUAGUGAAGUUUUCGCCAGUUACUAUCUUGGAGUUUGAGACAUCAUGGUUAAUGAAAGUUAUGUGGCUUGGGUUGAUUGCGGUAAGUUCAGGGUGGUGGGAUUAUGUGGGAUGCCAUUAAGUAAAGGUUGUCGGCAGUGGCGGAACCAGGCAGAAGUGAUUACGGUUUCUGGUGGGAAUGUUGUUGUAAUUUGGGCUGAGUAAUGGGCUAGAUUGAGUGAGUUAAGUGAUGAUUAACUGGGGUAAUGGGCCUGGUGAUUUUGGGGAUUAAGUUGGGCUACAGGCAUGAUAAAUAGCAUGGGCUCAGUGAUUGGGUUAAUGGUUGGUUAUUGGGACGUGAGGAAGUUGGUUAGAGGAUUGGCUGUGUUGUUGGUUUUGUGUAUAUGGAUUUUACAUUUAUAAUUGGAGAGUGGGCUGAAGGUUCAUGGGUUUAGCUGUUAGGGAUGAUUGCAUGUUAAUGGGCAUUGGCAGUUGUAGAAGGCGGUUGGGUGGUGGUGUUACAGCAGCAGUAAUGGAUUUUGGGACUGUUUUCAGAUUAUGGUGGCAACGGUCAACCAUACGCAGCACAAGUUUUUUUGAUGAAGGGAGGCAGUGUUUUGAGAAAGUGAGCCAACAGGUAAAAUUGUGAGAUGGUGUAGAUUUAGCAGGUGACUGGCUUGAGUCUAAAAUCUUUGAGUGAAACAAAAAAGCCAGAUCCUCUUUUCAACACUGUCUUCAGAUUAAGAAUUUCCUGGAAGUGUAUGGUCUCCAUGAUGGUCUAGAACUCAAAAUUAAUUAGCAAUCUGAUGAAGGGAAACCAUGUUUGGCUCUGAUACCAAGUUGAUGUAGAAUCAAUAUACUAAUCAAGAAAUAACAAAGUUAGAAGGACAGGAAGAAAUAAGCAGCAAGAAAGGGGAAGAAGCAGAGAGAAUGGAGGGAGAAGACCAGAGGAGAAGAGAAACAAGAGGGGAAGGCACGAGAAAGCAAUGCUAAUUUUCAUUCAAUUCUUCAUCUUCAUCAACUGAGUUCUUCAAUUCAUUACAACCAUAUAAAUAACAAACUAAUAAACCUAAUUUGAGGACUUGGGCCAAACCCAUAUACAAACCCAAUAAAACAUAAAUAAAUGGAAGAUAAAAUGGCCCAAACAAAGGGCCUGAUGAAGGAUGAUGUCCGCAUCAACUCCUUAGGAGUUUCUCUUGGUAUGUCAAAGAUUUUUGACCGUUCGACAUGGUAGAAUCGGUUGAUUUAUGAGUGUAGAGUCUGGAUUAUUGCUGGGAUUUCCUUUACAGGGUUUUUGCUGAAGAACAAGGUAUAAAACUGCGAAAAUGGCUUUUUCCAAAAAAUUUUGAGUCGGUUAACAUAAUUUCUCCAGCCACACACACUAAAUACCUUU